UCCCCCGUGAGGGGGCAGUCUCGCCUGACAAAUAUAACAGGCAACGAGGGUUGCGUUCGUUACCCCACUGAAGGGAACGAUUCAAACCACGAACUGACGACAGCCAUGCAUCACCUGUCCUACACCCUCGAAGGCUUCCUAGCUUUCGCUAGGCGUGCAGUAGGAUUUCUAACCCUGGUAAGGUUCUUCGCUUAGCGACGAAUUGAGCCACACGCUCCACCACUUGUGCAAGCCCCCGUCUAUUCCUUUGAGUUUUAGUCUUGCGACCGUACUACCCAGGCGGAUAACUUAACGCGUUAGCUUCGACACAGAGAGGGUCGAUACUCCCUAUAUCCAGUUAUCAUCGUUUAGGGCGUGGACUAC
rnacentral:misc_RNA from 1 species